UCAAGCUAAUAAGGGCGCAAGGGGGAUGCCUUGGCAUUGGAAGCCGAUGAAGGACGUAGCGAUCUACGAUAAGCCUCGGGGAGACGAAAGCAGUCAUCGAUCCGGGGAUUUCCGAAUGGGGAAACCCGCUGGAGCAAUACUCCAGCAACUCUUUGUGAAUCAAAUAGCAAAUUGUGGGGAACCGCCUGAACUGAAACAUCUAAGUAGGGCGAGGAAAAGAAAUCAACCGAGAUUCCGCUAGUAGUGGCGAGCGAACGCGGAAGAGGCCAAACCAAGGGUAGUAAUACCUUUGGGGUAUGGACAGCGCACGGUAUUGAGGAUCGAUAGUGGAAUGAAAUGGGAAGUUCAACCAUAGAGUGUGAGAGUCACGUACACGAAAUUGAGAAUCAGCCAGCUGUAUCCGGAGUACCGCCGGACACGUGAAACCCGGUGGGAAUACGGGGGGACCACCCUCCAAGCCUAAAUACUCUCCAAUGACCGAUAGUGUAUAGUACUGUGAAGGAAAGGUGAAAAGAACCCCUGGCGGGGAGUGAAAAAGAACCUGAAACCUUGUGCCUACAAGCACAUAGAGCACAUCAACGUGUGAUAUGGUACCUUUUGUAGAAUGGUCCGGCGAGUAAAUGUCACUAGCGAGGUUAAGGACUUAAGGUCUGCAGCCGAAGCGAAAGCGAGUCUUAACUGGGCGCUUUAGUUAGUGGUAUUUGACCCGAAACCGAGUGACCUAGCCAUGAGCAGGCUGAAGUGGAGGUAAAACUCCAUGGAGGGCCGAACCCACUCCCGUUGAAAUGGUAGGGGAUGACUUGUGGCUAGCGGAGAAAUUCCAAUCGAACUCGGAUAUAGCUGGUUCUCUCCGAAAUAGCUUUAGGGCUAGCCUCAAUUAACAUUACCGAAGGUAAAGCACUGACUGAGCUAGGGGGCGAAAGCUUACUGAACUCUAUCAAACUAAGAAUGUCGGAUAAUGAAUGAUUGGGAGUCACACUGCGUGAGAUAAGUUUCGCGGUGGAAAGGGAAACAGCCCAGACCUACAGCUAAGGUCCCAAAGUAUGGUUAAGUGGAAAAGGAUGUGGAAUUGCGUAGACAACCAGGAUGUUGGCUCAGAAGCAGCCACUCAUUUAAAGAGUGCGUAAUAGCUCACUGGUCGAGUGACUCUGCGCCGAAAAUUUAACGGGGCUAAACCAUACACCGAAGCUUAGGAAUAUACUUUUAGUAUGUUGGUAGGAGAGCGUCGUAUACGGGGUGAAGUUACAGCGGAAGCGGUAGUGGACUGUAUACGAGUGAGAAUGCCGGAAUGAGUAGCGAGAAUUAUGUGAGAAUCAUAAUGGCCGAAAGACUGAGGUUUUAGAAGGAAGGUUCGUCCGCUUCUAGUUAGCCGGGGGCUAAGGCGAGGCCGAGAGGCGUAGUCGAUGCACAUACGGUAGAGAUUCCGUAGCCACCUUGAAUUUAAACUGAGGGACACAUUGAAAGGGUAUAUCCCGGGCGUUGGUUGACCCGGGCGUAAGGGAGCUAACAUAUCAGCGAAGUAUACUUGGACAGUGGCGAGAAAAGCUCAGUGUAUAUAAUCAGGGUGCCCGUACUGCAAACCGACACAGGUAGUCAGGAAGAGAAUUCUAAGGCCAACGGGAGAAGGAUUGUUAAGGAACUCGGCAAAUUGACCCCGUAACUUCGGAAUAAGGGGUGCUCACGAGAGUGAGCCGCAGUGAAUAGGUCCAGGCAACUGUUUAUCAAAAACACAGCUCUCUGCUAAAUCGUAAGAUGAUGUAUAGGGGGUGACACCUGCCCGGUGCUGGAAGGUUAAGAGGAGGAGUGCAAGCUCCGAAUUGAAGCCCCAGUAAACGGCGGCCGUAACUAUAACGGUCCUAAGGUAGCGAAAUUCCUUGUCGGGUAAGUUCCGACCCGCACGAAUGGUGUAAUGAUCUGGACACUGUCUCAACAAUCCACCCGGCGAAAUUGUAGUACCGGUGAAGAUG
rnacentral:rRNA from 1 species